CAAAACUUGUUACCAUCAAAGAAGCGUUUUCUGAAGCGUUUGGCAGCUGUCAGUUGUUAUGUUGCGCUCCGUGUUAUGCUGUGUGGAGUCCUGCGGUGACAGAUAAAGAAUCACAGCAACCUGCUGAUGUGCAAUGUAAACAAAUAACGUGCACAAAAUCGUAAUUAAAUCCAUUAAAUAACUUCAAUAUCGAAUACUUUGAAUUUUCAGUCAACAGUUCAUAAUUUCUUCCAAUUAGGGAAUGUUCUGCUUAAGAAGAUAUUAUUUUAAUAGAAUUUCGAAAGCGGAUGUUGUGUCUCCCCCAACCCUUUCUCUUCUAGGUGUCCAAACAUUUCUCUUCCUAGGUGUCCAAAGACGCUACUGACGACUCCGAAACGGGAGGAGAGACUAUUUACGGCCGUGGGAGAAGGGCAGCAUUAGUACCAAGGAAUGCAAAGCUCUCUUCAACAAUUUUAGCGAUAUGUGCCGUCGCUCGUAAGAUUGAUUGGAGCUUACAUCGCGGUAGCCUGCCUUUACUGGAUGAUAUAAACCAAAUACUGGUUCAUGAAACUAAUAUCAAGGGAGCGAUAAUCGACAUCCGCCUAGAAGUUUUUGUAGCACACACACGCCACUCCGUGCGUUUAUCAAAGGAAUAACGAAUGCUACUAGACUGGAAGCAUCGAUUAUGGACAAUAGAGUCGGAGCUUCACAAAAAUCGGAAGCAGUUCCGGACAAAAGGUGCACAUUUAAAAGUCCGAACCGUUCAAAGUUGUCGAAAUCGUCGAUGCCGUCGGAAACGUCCGAAGCCGUUCCUUGUCCUUCGAGCCGUCGGAAGCACCAGAAUGGUCGAAAUAGUCGGAGCCUUCAAGAGCCGGCUCUGGCUGUCUAGUAGCGGCUCCGGACAACUCAAGACAGCUCCAAAGGCCAAAAGGUCUAGACUAGAAUAUACCGUCUUCCCUUAGUAGUCUCCCUUAGUGUUAGGACUAACAAUUCGGCAUCGUGGUGCUGUAUAAGCCUCGGAAGCCUAUAUAGGCCGGCACGUCCGCGUAAGACAUUAGACCAAGUAGAAGAUACAAUUAGCAAUAUAAAGAUAUGUAAAGAAAAACGACGAGAUGAUUUAGGCAAACUAAAAUGUGUUGUAAGAAAGAGUUAGUUUUUAACACAGGACGAUCAGAUAGUUAGGCGCAUUAUGCUACGGAAGUGUUAUCAGAAUCAUUUUAUACAAUGACAACUGUUGUAGGUAAAAACGGCUUUUAAUAAACCAUAUAGCUCAGCUGUUAUUUACAAUUGUACAUAUUGGAAAGAAGAAUAAUUACAGGAAGUAAUAAAGGGGGUUUCAAUUCCAAUUGUUAUUUUCCCCCUUAACUAAAUUGUUCCUAAUUUUUUUUUAAUUUUUUAAGUGAAUGAUUAGUCUUUUUCCAAGUUUUACUUACGUUUGUUUCAAAAGUUAUAUACUUUUUUCAAUUGUUUUGCUUGUUGUAUAAAAAUAUAUGUUGACGAUCUAUAAAAUAUGCUCAUCGUGU